AACGAACGCUGGCGGCGUGCCUAACACAUGCAAGUCGUGCGAGAAAGUUCCUUCGGGAGCGAGUAAAGCGGCGCACGGGUGAGUAACACGUAGGUAACCUGCCCCCCAGUCUGGAACAACUAGAGGAAACUCUAGCUAAUGCCGGAUGAGACCACGAUCCCUUCGGGGGUUGCGGCCAAAGAUGGCCUCUACUUGUAAGCUAUCGCUGAGGGAUGGGUCUGCGGGCCAUUAGCUUGUUGGUGAGGUAACGGCUCACCAAGGCUGUGAUGGCUAGCUGGUCUGAGAGGAUGACCAGCCACACUGGGACUGAGACACGGCCCAGACUCCUACGGGAGGCAGCAGUGGGGAAUAUUGCGCAAUGGGCGAAAGCCUGACGCAGCGACGCCGCGUGGGUGAUGAAGGCCUCGGUCGUAAG
rnacentral:rRNA from 1 species